rnacentral:lncRNA from 1 species
CUGCUACGAAGAAGAUGCCGGUGAAGCUAGAACAGGGAGCCCAGUCAGAGCGAGAGGCAAUAGCCUCUGAGGAAGGAGACCUGGGCUGGAGACAGUGGAGGUUACGCAGGGGCCCGAGGCAUGACUGCAGGGCUCCGUCCCAGGGUCACUGUCCUGGGAUCUGCUGCUCCCCUGACAAGCCUUGGGGGCCUCUCUGUGUGAGGCCAGAACGCAGGGCAAAAUGUCCACCAGCUGCGGGAUGGAUAAACACAUGUGGUCCAUGCAGGGGAAUAUUAUUCAGCCAUGAAAAAGAACAAAGCAGGGACACACACCACAUGGACAAACCCAGCAAACGUUACCGCGAGGGAAAUCACCUAGACACAGAAGGCCACUUGUCCGAUGACGCCAUUUAUAUGGAAUGUACAGAAUGGGAAACAUCCAUGGACAGAAAGUAGACUACUGGGGGUCAUCUAGCGCUGAGGAAGUUGGGGGGAACGGGAGGGUGACAGCUGAGGGGUGUGUUGUCCCUUUGGGGAAAGUGAAAAUGUCAUCAAUUUGAUUGUUGUGAUGACAAGCACAACUG